AUUGAACGCUGGCGGCAGGCCUAACACAUGCAAGUCGAGCGCGCGGCGACCGGAUGAGUAAUGUAUGGGGACUGCCCGAUAGAGGGGGCUAACUCCUGGAAACGGUAGCUAAUACAGCAUACCAUCGUAUAACCCAUAUGGGAUUAGCUAGUAAGUAAGGUAAUGGCUCACCUAGGCGACGAUCCCUAGCUGGUCUGUGAGGAGGAUCAGCCACACUAGAACAGAGACACGGCCCAGACUCCUACGGAGGCAGAAGUGGGGAAUAUUGCACAAUGGGAGCAAGCCUGAUGCAGCCAUGCCGCGUGUAUGAAGAAGGCCCUAGGGUUGUAAAGUACUUUCAGUCGGGAGGCGCUGCCGAACGCCGAAGCACCGGCUAACUCCGUGCCAGCAGCCGCGGUAAUAC
rnacentral:rRNA from 1 species